rnacentral:tRNA from 1 species
GGUUCUAUAGCUCAAUUGGAUAGAGCGGCAGCCUUCGAAGCUGUAGGUUGGCGGUUCGAUUCCGUCUAGAGCCA